rnacentral:lncRNA from 1 species
UUCUUGGUGUUCCUAUUUCAUUAAGGCAUUUGACUGCAAGAAUCAUAAAAAGAUACUGUGCAUUUAUGUAUCAAGGAAAUAAUAAAAUAUUACAUAAAUGUGUUUUGCUCUUUUACAUCAUCUAUAAUCCUUCAUUUUUUUUAACUAUUCAAACUUGGGGGAUAUUUUCAGGUUACAGAUAACAUUUCUCCCUACUUUUCUUUAGUAACACUUACAAUCCAUGAAAACAUAGUUGGGGUAAGAAUGAGAUUUGGGAUCAAAAAACUGAAUUCAUUUGCCCUAUACAGACCCAGUCCCACACUUAUUUAGGGCCAUUCCCCAAAUAUAUCUCUUCCCUUUUUUUCCCAAAGAUUUGUAUACUUUGUCUUCCAAAGACUUCAUCUUAAAAACAAAAUAAAAAUAGUUCAAACCCUAAAGUCAUAUUGAAAAAGGACCCAUAUUAAUUGUCUGCUUAUAAAAUAUAACCAAAUGAAACUAUUGAUAUAAAAAUGAAAAUAAAAAGGGACUAUGUAUUUUUUAAAUAAAUUCAAACUAUCAAUUUGAUUCCAGUUAUUAAGAAGCCUUGUUCUUCAAAUUAGUAAAAACUUAUCAGCAAUAGGACAAAUCAAAUAGAAUUUAUUGAAGAAGUAGAAUUAUUCUUUGGACCAGGAGACUCAAAUUAUUAUUAUGAUACAUCUGAAAUUAAAACCAUAAUCUACCUUUAUCCUUUGCCUAUAAAGAAAGCAAGAAAAAAAGAUCCUUGGACAAGUUGUAUUAUAGGCAGAGAUGACUUAUGUAUCAUACUUACUUCAUCACUUUUUCAUUUUCUGUGGUCAUGUAUUUUAGUCACAUGAAAUAUGGUCAGAAACACCCUCAGAAGCUGAAGUGAUACAGGCAUUUAUGUAUUAUCUCUUGAGAUUUUAUAGUUCCCAAGUCACCAUGUUGAUAACAUUAUACAACCUCAUUGUUCAUAGAUCCCAUAUUUACAAAUUUGCCUACUAGGUAUGAUUGCUGUUUUUGUGCUCAUUUGUGGACAUAUACUAAGUGGCUGAAAAGUGUUGAGUUGCCUAACACAUGUCCCUAGCUGACGUCAAACAAUGCUACGGUCUGCCUUCAUGUUUCAACUCAUACUGUAAACAAGUUUCUUUUUUUGUAACUAGUCCCUUGGUGGAGGCGUAUUUUGGUGUUCAAAAUGGCCUCCAAGCACUCAAGUGCUACUUAGUGUUCCUAAGUGAAAGAAGGCUCAUCAUGAUGUGCCUUAAUGGAGAAAAUGUAUGCAUCAGACAAGCUUUGUUCAGGCGUGAGUUAUAGUGAUGUUGGUCAUGAGUUCAAUGUUGAUAAGUCAACAGUAUAUUUUAAAACAGAAACACACAUAAUACAGGGUUAUGUGCUAUUUCAAUGUUGAAAUGUGACUACUGGCUGACAGGAAUCUAAAGCAGUGGUUUAGUAUUCACUAAUUCAGUGUUUGUGGAGACUUUCUGUAACUAUUGCAAAUAACAAAAAUCAACUGUCCUAAAAUUGGUCAAACAACAAUUUACUAUGCAGAGGCUUUCAACAUCUGUCUCCUGCCAUAACUCCCCAGCCUCAUCUACCACAAUCCCUCUUUAUUUGCAAUUUUUGCUAUGGCCAAUUUGAACUAAGUGUAGUUCCAAGAACCCACCAAGGUGUUUCAUAACUCUGUGACAUUGAAACUACACUUUCUUCUACCUAGAAAUGCCUUUCUCCCAUUUCUUCCAUUAGAUAGUACUUACUUGUACUGCAAAACAGUUCAAUGGUCUCAUUAAAGCCUUUUCUCACCCUCACAUAUUCCCUACUGUGAUAUAAAUACCUUUUUCUUUGUUUCCCUAGGACCUGUGCAUCUCCUGUCAUCAUCCCUGAAAUAUACUAGAGUGGGGUAGUCAAUGAAUUUUUCUUGCAGGUUCUACAUUCCUUAUGGAGAAGGACCAUGGCUUUUUUAACUUUAUAAUUACAGGACCUGAAAAAUUGUAGGUGCUCUCCUAACUCACCAAAGAAAUCUUCAGGAACAAAUGGCUGUAACUUUUCUGGACCAGGAUUCUGCAUGAUAGCCCAUUCUCUGAGCUUCAGAUCAUAUGAGGUAUUCAUUCAAUAGGCAAACAAAGCAGAACAGGACUGACCAAAACCCAGAGGACACAGGUACUCAACAUACGUGUGGUCAGUUGUGCAAAAAGAAUAUUGGAGGAAUAGACAAGAGUGGAAAUAUACUGUAGUCUAUAGGGCACAGGAAAAAAAAAAGCCACCAUAGAUGACACUGUAUGAGCUCAAAGGAAGAAAGAGAUCACAGAAAAAGGUAACAGAAAUUUAAGGGCAUGCUGCCAAGGUUUAAUAGCAUGAAGAGAAAUCUUACCAUGAGAACUGAAAUGUGGAGUCAGGAAUAGAAAAUAAGACAGAACCAUUGUCCAAGAAUAUAUGGAAUUCUAAACAGGAAUUGGACAUGGAAUCAAGACAAUAUUCUAUAUUCUGGAUUAUUGAUAUGAAAAAGAAGCAUGAUCAGAAAGAAAGAAAGCAAAGUCCUAGAAGCACAUGCCCUUCUUCUAAACUCCAAGCACAUUGCUGAACAUCUGUGUCAUUCCUUACUGCCAUACACACAAAAAAAGUGGUUCAUGAGAUUUAAAAAAAAAUUGACUGUUUUUUUAUUUAUUUUUUUUUUUGGCCAAGCCAGAAAAUAUUUUUCCAAAAAUCAAUUCAAAUUGACUCUAUUGUUGACAUAAACUCUAUUUAGUAACUUUGAGGAAAGGUGCAUAUUUUCAUGGUUACAGUAAUUCAACAAUUUAUUAGAAAAAACUUUGAAGUUACUUAGUCAAAUCUUUGAACAUUUUAUUAUAAAGGAUGAAUUUUGAACCAAAACCACAAAGAACAAAAAGAGUUCUUAACUGUAGCUAUAAUGUUUUAUAUAUUAUCUUUGAAUCUGUGGGGUUUCUGAUCAUAAAAGUUCUCAGCAAAUAAGUGUUGGUGUGAGUAUAAACAUUAGUCUGCAUAUGUUGAAUUGGACAUUGUCUAGGCUUUACUCCAGAUAUUUGGUGACCCUUCAGUGACAUGCAGGGCCAAGCUGAACCUUAUAGGAUGUUGGCCAGAACCAACUAAAAACUGUAGGUUUAACAAGAUAUAAGCAAGUUAGAGAUCAAAACCAAGCAUACAAUUUCAACCUCAAGCAAGAAAAGCCAAGCAAAGUCAUACACAGUAAGGUGACUCAUGGGACCAAAAGUUAAGAGAAUCUGAUUCAGAAUAAUUGUGUAAGAUUCAUUCAACAGAUAUUUCCAGAGCACUUCUAUGUGGCUAGCAUUGUUAUAGGCACUGGAAUACAGUAAUGAACAACAACAAAAAGCACAUUUUAAAGAUACAAAUUUUAGGGCUGAGGUAUAUGUAUAUGCAGCCCAGUAAUCAAGCCCUUGCCUUGCAAUCACAAGGCCUUAGGUUAGAUUCACAGCACUUCGGUGAGAGAGAGAGAGAAUUUGCCCUUCUAUGAAACAUAAAGUCUCAUUAUGGAGAGAAAUACUUACAAAAGAAUUAUGCAUGAUGUUAACAGAACAUUUAAUAAAGUGGUAUUGAUAUAUUCCAGGGAAUCAGGGAAGAUUUUCACAAAGCUUAACUAGCUGAAAUUUGAAGGAAAAGUAGAUAUAAACUGGGACAAAAGGAAGAGAUGGAGGGAAUGUUGAGAGGGUGUUCCAGGCAGCGUAAGUGCAGAACAUCUGUGCUAGGAAAGGCAUGGAAAACCUCAGAAGCUGGAAUGGCCAAUAUGGAAAUUCAAGAAGAAAGUUAAGCUAUAGUAAGAAUGAUAAGAUGCCACUAAAGGAUUUUUAUAGCAGGAAUGAUAGUACCACAUUCACUUGGAAAAGAUCAAAGACUUUUACAUGAAGAACAUACCAAAGUGGCCAGAAAAGAAGUGAGGAAGUUGGACCGGAGGCCAUUACAGUUAUCCACUUGGGAGGUGAUCAUGGCUUGGAUUAGGAUGGUGACCAUGGGGUUGGAAAAAGUAGAUUUGAGAGAUAUUUAGGAAGUAAUAUAGUAAGAAUUUGGAUUAAUUAAUGGAUAUGGAAGAUAAGAAAGUAUCAAAAGUAACUCAUAGUUUUCUGGCUUGCAUUAGAGGAUGUUUGGUGCCCAUUAUCUGAAACAAGGAACAUUUGACAACGGUCAAGUGCAUUGGUUUUGAUGGGGAAAGGAAUUAAAAGUUCAGUUUAGAUUUACAGAAUUUGAGGUGCUUUGGGGUUUAGUAAGUGGAGCUAUCAAAUAGGCCUAGGAAUAUCUGAGCUAGAAAAUCAGGGACAUAUGGGCCAAAGAGGAAGUUUGAGGGGUAUUUGUGCAGGGAGUCUUCUACCCAGUCCUCGUCAAGUCCCUUUGGGAAGGACAGGAAAGCAUAUCUGAAAGAUGAGGUCAGUCCAUUUACCCACUCAUCGUGUCUGUGUAACUACCAAAAUGAUGAGUAUCUUAGUUCCAGUAGUUUUCUUUGCUAAGGACAAGCUUUGAUAAUUAUUGCAGACUAAAUGGUCAAUAGCAUAUAAAUCAGUCAUGUAGUGAGAGGUAUCCUUAAUAUAUGUGUGCUUUAUCAAAUUUAAAAAUAUAAUGUUCACUUCAUGCUUUUAUGUGUGUGUGUGUGUGUGGUACUAGGCAUAUUGAACCCAGGGGCACUCUACCACUGAGCUCCAUCCCUAGCCUUUUGUAUUUUUUAAGACAGGAUCUCACUAAUUUGCCUCAAACUUGUAAUCCUGCACCUCAGCCUCCUUGGUAGCUGGGAUUACAGGUGUAUGCCACUGUGCCCAGCUCAUAUUUUUCUUAACAUUAAAAUUCAAAUCUCAUUGCUCUUCUUAUAAAAAUAUACCCUUGAAAAGUUUUUUGUAAUCACUUGUGUAUUUGCCAUGCAUAAAUUUGUGUGUGUGUGUGUGAAUGUUUUAAAACAAGAACUAUAUUUUUCAGGCAAUUAUUUCUGGGUUUCUAUUAAAAUACAUAAAACUAAGAAUAUUUAUCUAACAGAACCAAUAAUAGAAAAAUUCACAUUUGUUUGAAAUCUAUAUUUAAGAAAAUUUGUAUCGACUGCCUUUCAUGUAGUAACUAAUAUGUUUUUCUCAUUUUAAUAAGUUGUUAUUUUUCAAAUGAAAAUUAUAUGUAUGUCAGAGCUGGGAAGAGAGCCAGGAUCAAGCAAUUUCCAGGAGGUACAAGAAGGUGCUUUCAUCUGCAUCUUUUUCCUACAAGUCAGCAUUCUUCCUCCCUCUGAUUAAUAAUCCUCUAUCAUCUUCCAUCCACUCCAUAGAUUACUGCAGUUAGGUCUACUUUCUAAAAUCAGAUCAGCACUGAAAACAGCCUUUUCACUGAUUAUUCAGCCUAUCUUUUAAAAUGCAUAGUAGAUCAUUUGAGAUCCAACAGUUCUGUAUCUUAUUACUAUAGUAGACAUAAAUAUAGUAGAUAAAUAAGAACUGAAAUUUCCUAGUGGCUCUGGGGACAGUUAACUCUCUCAGCACUGAAAAAACCCUUUUCACUGAUUAUUCAGCCUAUCUUUUAAAAUGCAUAGUAGAUCAUUUGAGAUCCAAUAGUUCUGUAUCUUAUUACUAUAGUAGAUAUAAAUAUAGUAGAUAAAUAAGAACUGAAAUUUCCUAGUGGCUCUGGGGACAGUUAACUCUCAAUCAUUAGCAUAGAAUUAAAAAUUAAAUUCUGAAACCUAAAGAAAGUGAAAAGUCAUGAAAUAUUCUCAAUCUCCAUUAAGGUAUACAACUUUAGUUCUGCCUAGGUUAUAUUCAAAAUUAGGAGUAUAAUUCCCAUUUUAUAUAUAUAUUUAAUCUAAACAAAAAUACCAUAACAAAUAUAUAGUCUACAUUAAAUAAGAUCUUUAAAAUACCACUAUAAUUCAACUAUUUUUCUAUCUUUUAACUUUUUUUUUUUUGCAAAGUGCUAUGUGAUACUAUCAAAUAAGUAAAAUAAUUUUCAUGAAGGCUGACCUUAAACUGGAUUAGCUUCCCCUGCUGUCUAGGCACAUAGCACAUAUUUUCUGCUAGAAUUCUGUGAGAGUACUGUAUUUGUCUUCUUCACAACAGUUAAUCCUAAUUAAUUCUUAAUUUUUUUGGAAUAAAGACUGAAGAAACCAGUGGAGGGAAGGAUGUGCAUGCAUGCACGUCUGUGUCCCCAAAUAUCCAGUAUGUGUUUGAAGAAAUGUAGCAAAGGAUACAUAGAAUAUGGAGUCAAACAGAACCAGAAAUGAGUCUGAAUUCUUGGCUCUUCCAAUUAGUGAUUAAGUGACCCUGAGGAAAAAGAAAAUGUUCAUGUUUACAUGUAAAGAGGUAAUAAUAAUAAUAAUAAUAAUAAUAAUAAUAAUAAUAAUAAUAUCAACCUCACUGUGUUUUGACUAUUAAAUGAGAUGACCUGUAAGGAAAUUACACAAGGCCUGCUUUUUAGAAGUUACUCAGUGAGUCGUUUUCUUUCUUUCUUUUUUUUUUUUCAAUCUUCUCCACUCUCUCUCAUUUCUUAUCUUUUUAUCUCAUGACUGAAAAAUAAAAUUUUAAAAGAUAGGAAAAUAAGCUUUAGUAUUAAAUGGAAAUGCCUUCAUUAAAGGGGUAAAUCACAAAGUGUGAUGAGUUACUAAAGCCAUGCUCACCCAGGUGUCUAUAUCCUGAUUAAUAUAUAAUCAAAUUUGGCUUGUUUCAACUAUUAAAAUGUCUCAUAAUAUUUUCCCUUAGUUAUAUCUUCAGUUACCAUCUGCAAAAAGAAAAAUUACCACUGAAAGUCUAUUUUGUAAUUUCAACAAAAUAUGAAACAAAAAUAUGUGAGCAAAGUUAAUUAACCCUUUGCAGGUAAAUAAAAGGUAAUUCAGUUUACCAUAAUGUCUCUCUCUACAAGUAUAGGUGAAGAGGUAUAUGCCAUGAUGAUUCUGAGAAUGUGAAUCAGUGGUUUUCAACCAGAACUCUUUCUAAAACCAACUAGGAAAGGAAUAUCUUCAACUAUCCACACAACUCUGCAAUAGUUCUUGGAAACCUUGAAGAAGUCUUUCUUAUGGAAGCUAAAUUACUGAAGCCAAAGCACUAUUAGAAAUUGUGACUAGUAUAGCAAUUAGAUAAGGCAAACCCAAUUACUAGCUAAACAGUGAAUGAAAUUAGUUGAGAUGAUAAAGAUGGCCCUACUCUGUACAAGCACUAUAAGCUUGAUUUGAUUUGCUUAUUUAUUUUGUUUCUGUGUUUGGGUAGAUUUAAACCAGUUUGGUAAAUUGUUUUUUUCUAAAAAAUUUUCUGUUUCCUAUACACUUUCAAAUUUUUUGGUGUAAAUGAUUCAUAAUAUUUUAAAUUAUCUUUUUUUAAAAUUUUUUACAUACAUGACAAUAGUGAAAUGCAUUACACUAAUUUUUACCCACUUACAGCACAAUUUUUCGUAACUCUGUAUAUAAAGUAUGUUCGUGCCAAAUUAUGCCAUUAUACAUGUACUCUUUUUUUGCAUUAUAAUUCUUAGUACACAUAUAUACCACAAUUUUUCAUUUUCUGUUUGUAUAUAAGGUAUGUUGAUACCAAAUUCAAAUCUUCAUACAUAUAUUUUGUAUAACGAUGACCAUCACAUUCCACCAUCCUUCCUAUUCCCCUUCCCCCUCCCUUUCUCCCCACCCCUCUUCCCUAUCUAGAAAUAAUCUUCCUCCCAUGCUCUCCCUCCCUAUCCCACUUUGAGUCACCUCCCUUAUAUCAGAGAAAACAUUCAGCAUUUGUUUUUUUGGGAUUGGCUAACUUCACUUAGCAUAAUCUUCUCUAACGCCAUCCAUUUACCUGAAAAUGCCAUGAUUUUGUUCUUUUUUAGUGAUGAAAGCAAUCAUGAAAUUCAUCUGGAAAAAUAAGAGACCCAGAAUAGCUAAAGCAAUUCUAAGCAGGAAGAGUGAAACAGGUUGUAUUGCUAUACCAGACCUUAAACUAUACUAUAGAGCAGUAGUAACAAAAACAGUAUGGUACUGGCACCAAAAUAGGCUGGUAGACCAAUGGUACAGAAUAGAGGACAAAGAGACUAACCCACAAAUUUACAACUAUCUUAUAUUAGACAAAGGUGCCAAAAGCAUGCACUGGAGAAAUGAUAGCAUCUUCAACAAAUGGUGCUGGGAAAACUGGAAAUCCAUAUGCAACAAAAUGAAAUUGAAUCCCUACCUCUCACCAUGCACAAAAGUUAACUCAAAAUGGAUCAAGGAUCUAGGAAUUAAACAAGAGACUCUGUGUCUAAUUGAAGAAAAAGUAGGCCCUAAUAUUCAUCACAUGGGGCUAGGCCCCAACUUCUUUAAUAAGACACCUAUAGCACAAGAAUUAAAACCAAGAAUCAAAAAAUGGGAUGGAUUCAAACUAAAAAGUUUUUUCUCAGCAAAAGAAAUAAUCUGUGAGGUGAACAGACAGCCUACAACCUGGGAGCAAAUUUUUACGCUCACACAACAGAUAGAGCACUAAUCUCUAGGGUAUAUAAAGAACUCAACAAGCUAAGCACCAAGAAAAUAAAAUAAUCCAAUUAAAUCAUCUUUUUAAUCACUGCCAUAGCUUAAGUUGUUACCCUUUUAAUUUCUAAUUAUUUAUGUCUUUUUUAAAUUAGUUAAGUCAAAGUGUUAUGUAUUUUAAUGUUUUUUUUAAAAAAAAAACAUUUGACUUUCUUAUUCUCUAUCAUAUUUUUUCUGUUAUUCAUAACUGAUUAUUUAUUACUUCUUCCUUCAAAUUUAGUCUUAUUUUCCUACAAAUUUCUUUCCCUUUUUUCCUUCAUUUAUUAAUUUCCCCUUUUCUCUUUUCUGGUAUAUGCAUUUAAAGAUAUAGAUAUCCCUUGAAAUUCUAAUGUAGCUACAUCUCAUAAACUGUGUUGUAUUUUCAUUAUUAUUCAAUUUUUUAGUUUUUUUAAAUUUCUAUUCUGAUUUCAAAUGUGCCCCUUGAAUUAUUUGGAAGCAUGUUUUUUAAUUCCCAAAGUAUGAAGUCUUUUUAAAAUUAAAUGUUGUUUAUUUCUAACUUCAUUAUAUUGAGAAAGAAUCAUAGUUUCUGUCAUCUACUAAGUACAGUUUAAGCAGAGGUAUCUUUAGGCUGAAGUCUUCAGUUUGAUCCCAUUCACAUAUCCUACCCACUCUGCUCAGGUCCCCACCCAAGACACACAUCUUGUUCCAAUCAAGCCAGGGUAAUCACCACUAUCAAGUUUAUUCCUGUUUCUAUACAUUCCUUUAUUUUUAACUGACUGUCUUCUUUUCACCAUUAAGAUACCUUGUGUGUAGCCCACUGUUUCUCAUGUUCACUUUUUCCCAGGUGUAUUAUUUUUAAAUUCUUAGAAAUUUGUUUUGCCAUCCCCUUAAGAUUCUUUUUAGUUAUUUUUUUGCCUUGUCUUUUGAGGGUUAGAGGUUUUGGUUUGCUUUUCAUUUUGUUUUGUUUGUUUCUCUUGGAUCUCUUACUCUCCUUUCUUCUCCUAUUAAUAGCCCAAUUCUCUUGUUCUCUCUUUCUCUCUCACUUUACUUUGUUUUCCCCAUUUUCUCCUCUUUUCUCAUAAGUAUUGAUAUUGUUUUCUUCCUUCUACUGGUUUUGGAAUUGGUUUGUUCUUCUUUUUCAAGAACCUUCAGAUGUAUCUGUUAUUUAUUUGGGAUCUUUCUAAAUCCCAAUGUAGGCACUUAUAGCUAUAAACUUUCUUCUUAGAACUCCUUAUAACCAAGGAGGUGACAGACCUCUACAAUUAAAACCAUAGAAUGCUGAAAGAAAUUGAAGAAGUUCUCAGAAAAUAGAAAGACCUCCCAUGUUCAUGAAUAGGCAGAAUUAAUAUUGUUAAAAUGGCCAUACUACCAAAAGCAAUAUAAAGAUUCAAUGCAGUUCCCAUCAAAAUACCAAUAACAUUCUUCACAGAACUAGAAAAACAGUCCUAAAAUUCAUUUUGAAGAAUGAAAGACCCAUAAUAGCCAAAGUAAUUCUAAACCAAAAAAGCAAUACUGGGGGCAUAACAAUACCUAACUUCAAAUUACACUCCAGAGCGAUGAUAACAAAAAGCGCAUGGUACUGGCAUAAAAACAGACACACAGAACAAUGGUACAGAAUAGAAACCUCAGAGACAAACCCACACAUUUCCAAUUAUUUGAUCCUUGACAAAGCUGCCAAAACAUACACUGGAGAAAAUACAACCUUUUUAAAAAAUGGAGCUGGGAAAACUGGUUAUCCAUAUGUGAAGGAAUGAGACUAGACCCUUAUCUCUCACCCUGCACAAAAAUAUCAACUCAAAUCAAAGAUUUAGGGAUUGGACCAGAUACUCAGAUACUAUGCAGUUCCUAGAAGAAAACAUAGGGUCAACACUAAAGCAUAUAGGCACAGGCAAUUACUUUCUCAAAAGUACCCCUAAAGCUCAGGAAAUAAUGCCAAGAGUUAAUAAAUGGGUUAAUAAAAAGAGUUAAUAAAUUUUGAAUAAAAAUAUCAAAAUAAAAAGCUUCUACACAGCAAAGGAAACAAUAAGGUAUGGAGAGACUCUACAGAAUGGGAAAAAAUAUUUACUAGCUAUUUUUCUGAUGAAGUAUUAAUAUCUACACUAUAAAAAGAACUCAAAACUUAACACCAAUAAACCCAAAUAACCCUAUUAAUAAAUGGGCAAACAAAUUAAACAGACACUUCUCAAAAGAAGAAAUACAAAUGGCCAACAAAUAUAUGAAAAAAUGUUCAAUAUCAUUUACAAUUAGGAAAAUGCAAAUCAAAACUACAGAGAGAUUGUAUCUCACACUGGUCAGAAUGGCAGUCAGCAAGAACACAAUAAUAAAUGCUGGAGAGGAUGUGGAGGAAAAGGAACACUUUUACACUGUUGGUGGAAUUGUAAAUUAGUACAAACACUAUGGAAAUCAGUAUGGAGGUUCCUCAAAAGACUAGGAUAGAACAACCAUAUGACCCAGCUAUAUCACUGCUAAGUAUUUAUCCUAAAAAACUAAAGUCAUAAUACUACAGCGAUACAUGCAUACCCAUGUUUACAGGAGUACAUUUCACAACAGUCAAACUUUAGAACCAGCCUGGAUAUCCAUCAGCAGAUGAAUGGAUAAGGAAAAUGUGGAGUUAUAGUCCACAAUUGUGUGUGUGUGUGUGUGUGUGUGUGUAUAUAUAUAUAUAUAUAUAUAUGUAUAUAUAUAUACAUACAUAUAUAUGUAUAUAUACACAAUGGAGUUAUAGUCAGUCACAAAGAAAAAUGAAAUUAUGUCAUUUUCAGGAAAAUAGAUGGAACUUGAGAACAUUACGUUAAACAAAAUAAGGCAAACUCAGAAGGUCAAGGGUUUUCUUUCAUAUGUGGAAGCUAGAGAGGUAAAGGAAAAUAAAGGUGGGGAGAUCUCAUGAAAAUUGAAGGGAGAUCAGGAAAGGAAAGGGACCAGUGGGGAUAGAUAAGAGGAGAGAAAGGGGAGUACUAGGGAAUGAUAUUGGCCAAAUUAUAUUGUUAUAUUGUGUGCAUGUACAAAUAUGUAAACAAAUUCUAUCAUUAGAUACAUAUAUAAUGUACCAAUAAAAAUAUGCAGAUUAAAAAUAGAAUUCUGAAAUUUUUACAUGCUUUUCAUUUUAAAGCUAAUGUUAAGAUUUUAUAUUUAGAAAUAGAUUUGUGCAAAUAUUAGUUCCUUUAUGUACUUUUCCCCACAUUGUCUAAUGUUUGUACUAUUAACAUAUAUUGCAUUUAUAUUCAAUGGAAAGACUUUUAGAUUUUUAAUAUUCCCAUUUGGAUUGAAGUAUUUCCUCCAAUACUUUUCAGUCUACUUUCUUCUUGUUUUCCCCUCUCAAGAACAUGUUCUGCUUAUCAUAUAAUAAUAAUGUUUUGAGAACUAAUUACAUAUUGUGUACAUUGUAAGUACUUUGCUUAUAUUCUUUGUUAAUCUCCAUAUCAACCUUUGAAGUUACUGAUUACUCUCAUUUAACAGAUGAGGAAUCUGAAAGUGAAACAUGUAAGUGGCCUAUUCCAGGUCACACAGCUAAAAUACCACAGACAAAGUUUGAGCCUGGGUCUACCUGACGAAUAGCCAAAGUGCCACACUGCUAUAUCAUACUGGUUUCAAGAGCUUCUUGAUUCUCUUGUGUGUUGGGAUGACUGCCAGGCAACUAAGUAAAAGCCAGUUUUGGAAUCAACUCAAUACUCCUUUAAGACAUCCUUAAAAUUAAAUUCAAUAAUUCAGUUUUCAUACUAUGGUGAACAAUAGAACACUUAUUUUGUAAUACAGAUAGGGGCCUCUGUCUGUCUAUGGAGAGAUGGCCUUUAUUUGUCAACUCUGACAAAUAAACUCUCAUGUGUAUUUCUAAAAAAAAAAAUAGGUAUGUAAUUACAGAAAUAAACAGUGCCUCAUGUUAUUUUUGAUGAAUGUUUCAGUCACAAAAUUUCAAUCAUAACCCAAGGAAGAAAUGUAAUUUUCAUAUGAGAAACAAGCCUUAAGAAGAAAGGACCUUGCUUUUAAGUCUGGUGUUUAUUCAAAGCUUAUUUUUUUAAUAACUGAAGAUUAAUUGGAGAGAAAGCUUACAAUACAUUGAAGAAAUUUCAGACAGAGAAAUUUGCAUUGCAUUUUUAACAGCAAAUAGUAUCUUAGAUAUCCCUCCUUGGUUUUACUUUCCUCUCUUUAACUAUAUUUACCAACUAACCACAGGUCAGAAUUCUUCCAUGCCUGUACACAGAUGGUAGAUAAUCCAUAGUCUUUUUUUUCUCACUCAUUUCAAAAUUUUGAGAGAAUUAAAGAAAAAUUUUCUCUUGUUAUAAUAAAGUUAAAAUAGCUACCAUGCAUCAUAUUAAGCAAGUUUGUAUUAUUUCCAAUAUUCACAACAUUCCUCAUAAAGGAUAAAUACAAGACUCAGAAAAGUGGUUCUCUGAUUUACCCAAGAUCAUAAACCUCCAACCUAGAAAUUAGUGAUUACAGUUAGAGAGAGAAAAGGAGGAGCCAGGAGGUAUAGUUAAGAUAGUAUUUAUCAUUAAUCACACAACAGAAUUGGAAUCCAAACCCAAAUGUAUUUGACCUCACUAAUUCAUGUGGCCACUUAUAUUAUUUGACUCUGAAAACCUAAAAAGAGAGAAUUAAGUAAUCUAACUCUUGAAGUGACACAAAAAUUCAUUAAACAUCUAUGA